UCCCAAUCAGUCUUCAUUGUCUUGCAUUUUCCCGGAAAAUCUGCUGGCCAAUAGCUCUAUGUUGCGAAAUAGCACAGCAAAUGGAGUCAUUCAGGCGGCGGUGGAUAUAUAUACAUACGCCUGCAUACACCUAGUAAAUGUACCUCAGUCCAGCAAGUAUUGCGCGUGUAUCUAACGCUGGGUCUUGCGUGGGCCCCACAUUGACCAGGCCAAUGAGAACUUACCAGGUGUCUCGCCGUUGUAAGAUAGGAAGCAGGCCAGCAGCGGACAGCCGCCGAAAGACUACCGAGGAGGAUGCAGCAGCCUCCAACGCCCGCCCACGCCACUUCACAGAAGCACUCCCCACCAUACCCCCCACUGCCGCCGCCGUCAGGAUAGUCCUCGAACAAAUUUAACAUCUCAUCCCUUUCCCCCCAUUUCCCUUCUCAUCUUGUCAGUGCCAGCGUUGAUUUGGUGGACCGGAUGCUUCUCCUCGCGGUUCCAGGCAUGGUUCGUCGAUCUGGUUUGGUUCGUCGUUGGAGAAGUUGAUAGUGACGGGUGGUUGUGGGUCGCGGUCGUGCGCUUGUGCCGCCAUUAAUGGGGACUCUUUGAUCUCGCGCACCUCUCGUUCGCCUCCCAUGACGCCGGCUAGAUCUGCUCGCCCACUCCCAGCCACUGCUAUCGCCGCCCCACCCGACCCCAAUUGACGCCGUCGCCGGCCACUAGCACGAGGAAGGCAGGCGACCGACCAACUGCUCGCCUCCCACGUCGCCGGCCAGAUCUACCGCCCACUCCCAACCACUGCGUCUCCCCGUCGUCUCCCACGCCGCUGGCGACCACCGACAAAGAGCGAGAGCGAUAGACGACCAACCCCCAACCCCAUCGUCUCCCCACGCUGCUGGUGACCACCGACAGAGAGCGAGAGAGCAGCAGCGACGAGGGCUGGGAAGGAAGAAGAAGAAGAAGGCGAGGGGUCGCGCGGAUGGCAGGAAGUCGCCGGCGACAUGGAAGGCUGGGAAGAAGGAAGAAGAAGAUGAUGCUGCACACACCUCAAUCGCAUGUGCAGCUCACGCGCUGACUCAGGUGCCAAACAGGUUCAAAAUUAAAAGUUGAAGGGGCUAAUAAUCAGUUGAGGGGCUAAUAGUCACUUCCUUAAGUUCAGGGCUAAAUGGUGAGAGUUGAAGGGCUGCACAUGCCUUUAGACUAGUUUAAUAAUAUUUUUAUUAAAUAAUAAUAAAUAAAUAUAAUUAUAAUAUUUUAUUAUUUAAUAAAAUAA